UUUCCAGUUUUUUUCGGCGAUGGCGACGGUCCGGCGAACCAAGGAAGGAGACGACGGAAUAUUUCGUCAAGUUUGACAGAAUAUUCCAACGGCGUCAGGUUAGUUUUAACGGUAUAUGCUACUUUUUAACGGAAUAUUCCCUAACGUCGUUAGGAUUACCGUCAGUGUGCCAGGCACGUGCCUGCGCGUGGGCGGCCCGUCUGGCCGUGCCUUGGCCGGGGCGUGGGUGGUCGGAAAAUUUUUCUAAAAAUAUGGGGAUGUUCGUGAAGUUGUGUAGAUCACGUUGGUAUAUUCAAACAUCUCAUUUGAGCAAUGUAUGAGAAGUUAUUAGCUAGUAUUGGUUAUGUGCUUUAAAUUAACGUUUCUAUAGUUGUUUCGCAUAUAGGGGAGACUUAUCCCGAGGACGAGCGCAGUCAAGGGCGACUCGAGGGCUACGACCCUUCGACAUACCAGUGAGUGGGCUUUUGGUUUUCAGUAUUUAUUUAUAUACUUGAUAUUUUCCCAGAAAAUAUGUUUAAAUGAAAGUAUGCCUUGAAUUGCCAUGCAUAUAAAUUGAUAUUCAGUAUAUGAAAUAGUACAUGAUGCAUAUAUAUAAUUGUGGUGCUGUGGACACUCAAGUAAGCCAGGUGAGUUUAUGAAUUGUGAAUGUGAUUAACGUUUAUGAUUAAUUGAGAAGCUUAGAGCUCAUAAACCUUCACCCUGGGUGAUUGUGAAUUACUGGAGAUAGAAUACAGGUAUGUUUAUAAUGUCACCUCCCGCACCAUAUGCUCAUAUUGGAUCCAAUUUAGGUGCACAGUCUUGUCGUACAGACCAUCAUAGGUGUUCCGACUCGUAGAUGACUAGCGAUUUAUCGCACAUCUAUCAUGAGAAAGUAGCGUUGAGCAUAAUUAUAUUACACCCAGUCUUGUCGUACAGACCCUUUUAGUGGUUCUGACUUAUGUGCAGUGUAGUGCCGUAUAGGUCAUUGUAGUGACUCCGGCUAGAUUGACUAAUGAGCUAUGAAAUCAGCCGUACAGACUUAUACAGAGGUUCCGGCUAAUAUGCUAUUUCCAUGAAUUUAUUCUCACCUGAGUCAUUUAUCCUAUUUUCAUGUUUUGGCAUGGCAUACUUAUGAAUAUAGUUAUGUGAAGCAUGAUUUGAAUUGAGAUAUUUAUAUAGUUAUGCAUAUGUUUAUAUUCUAUCUUUGGGAAAAUUAUACAUGUUUUACAACGAGGGGUUAGAACAUUUGAAAGUUAAGUGUGUUUUCAAAACCUUUGUUUUUGCCCACUCACGUUUUCUGUUCUGCGCCCUUCUAGGUUUUAGGUAGACUUGUUGUUGGUGGCAAUUUGAGGAUCUCGGCGG
rnacentral:lncRNA from 1 species